AAUGCAGUUUCAGGAAUUUAACACUUAAGUGUUUCAAGUAUUUUAUACCACAAUUGGUCUAACAGUUGAGAUGGAUGAAUUCCUUAUUGUCUGGUGCGAAAUACAGGCUCCGGUACAUUCAGAUAGAAAAGGGUAUUGAAACUUAGUUAAUGAAGAGUUAAUGAAAUUGCUACAUCAAAUCCUUGUAUACAUGUACGUUACUGUUUUAGCUACAACACAUUAGUGAAUAAUUCUCAGAAAAGAAAGAAUAACAUAUAAGUUCAGAUUGAGUUGUAUGGUUCAUUAAUUUGGGAAGCAUCCUCUGGUUUUUGACUACUUGUUAUCUCAAAGAGACUCCAUAGAUAAUCAGUUCAGAAAUGCUGUUUUGACUUGAUCCUGACUAAGAUUGCAAAUUAUCAGGUAAAAUUACAGAAGGAAAAAUAAAAAUAAGGGAAACACAAAAGAGAGAACACAGUGAAACAGUGAAGAGGACAGAGUAAAACGUGUGACAGAGACUGAAAAAAAAAUAAAAUAAAAAGAUUAAUCUGCUAAGUGAAGAAAAAGCAUGAAUUAAAAAGAAGCCAGGCUCUUUUCAGUGGUGUCCAGUGGCAGGACAAGGGAUAAUGGGCACAAACUGGGGCAUGAGAGGUUCUGUCUAACCAUCAGGAAGCACUUCUGUACUGGUGGGUGGCACAGCACUGGAACAAGCUGCCCAAACAUUGCAGAUUGAAACAGCACCUCCUUAGUAAUACUCAUACUCUUAUGAGCUACAGCCUUGAAAUUACCAAGAGUUUGGGUAUCUAGGUAUUUAUUUCUAUUUUAUUCACCUUGGGAAUACAGUAUCUGUUCGCUUGGAAUGUAUACUAUACAGCUUAGUUUGGCCCAAAAUAUUUGUAAGAAAUAAAUUUCAUGAAAUUGUGACAAAGGAAAAUAGUGAGGAAAAUUUCUAUUUCUAUUUCUGUUCUAUUGAGAAGCAGAUUAUUUAUUUUUUUUUUCCCCAUGAUGAAUUGAAGAUGAGAGUUUAUUUUGAAUCCCUCUCUCCAGCACUGGACAUGUAUUGCAGCUUUAGGGCAGGACAGAAAAAAUUCCAUGAGGAUUAGGGAUUAGCUACAAAUAGUAAGACGGUUUCUAUUGUUUUCCUGGCUUGAGUAAUGUAAAUGAAAAUAUGCAAACAGCAGAAACAACGGAAAGUAAAUUCUACUGUUUUUAUUUGGUUUGAUUUUUUUUAAGGUACUUUCAGUUCUAGGUUAUUGGACCUUUGCUUUCAUAGAGAUCUCUGGCUACAUACAGGAUUGAUGCCUGCUCAGGGCCUAAACCCUGAAAUCCUUAUUCAUUACUUCAUUUUCUUGUCUUUGCACUGUACUUAACUCCUACCUUCAACUUGCUUGCAUUUGAAAGUGAGAGAGUGGAAAGAUUCUUUUUAGCAAAGGUUGCUACGUCAUUCUCGUAACUUCAGUUUUUCCCUCUAAAAUAUCAAAACCAAAUAAGAUUUUUAGGCUUCAGAUUGCGUUACAGGAACAAGCUUUAUGAACACAGCCUAAAUUUCACAAGAUUUGAGAAACUGGCAGAGUCUAAGCCUUGGAGACCAUUUGUGCAUCUAAAGCCGGAGCAAGCACAGUCCAGCGAUGCAACCCUAAUGUUAGAAAUGAGACCGGGCGGCUUUAAGACAGAAACAGGAAGCUGUAACUAGAAUCCAGCUGAAUUCGGAGCUGGGGCACUUCACAGUCAGGCUGCAAAUCAAGCAGAUGUGCUUGCAGUGAAUUUCUGUAGUGUCUGAACCUUUCUUUGUACUGAAGGUGAUUACACCUUCCUUCCUCUGUGAUUUUUUUUCUUUUGUUUUGCA
rnacentral:lncRNA from 1 species